rnacentral:lncRNA from 1 species
CGGCUUGGGUUUCUUAUUCGCCUGGCUGGCUCAUCGCCUCUGAGAAAACCAUUCAAUACCUUGAUUAGUUGGUCGUAAGAAUGUGAAACUUAUUACUACAUUAGUGUGCAAUUUUUCACUUUGUACGUUAUGUAUGGAGUGAUUGCGAUUUGAGCAACAUUAAACCGAACAACCUAGACAGCCCACGUGCCAUGAAGUGUUGUUCAACACCGUAUGUGUGAUGGCCGGUUUAGCUAGGCCCACAGGGCAGUAGUUAGGGGCUUGGCCCACAAGUUAUCUUAGGUUAAUUCUUAUGCAAGUUAUCUUAGGUUAAUUCUUAUGCAAGUUAUCUAGGUUAUAAAUAUAGGCUGUAAGACUCUUUUUGGAAUCAAGCAAUAAGAAGAAUAUUAUCUCUAUUGCCCGGCUUCCAGAGGAGCCGAAACCCUAGCCGCCGCCGCCAUCCUCCUCCCACACGACGGCGCCCAGCCGCCGGCGCGCCGGCUCAUCGCCUCGUCCUACUCCAUCCUUCCCCUACAACCUACGGAGCAGGUCCGGUAGGAUCCCUGGUUCUACCAAUUUGGUAUCGCCUCGCCCCACUUCCAGCGUGGGCGGCUGCGUCUUCGCCUUCGCCGGUCUACACCACGGCUCCGGAGCAGCCGACCCCGUUUCCGCAGUUCAGCGGGCCAUCUGGCUCCGCGGGUCCCUAUCCGGAGUACUCCGACCAGGCACCACCCGCCUCGCUGCUCCGCACCUCCGAGCCAGCUCGACACGGCGCUCCGACCCAGACACCGCCGCGGUUCGCCAAGAUCGACUUCGCCACUUAUGACGGCACGGAGGAUCCCCUCAACUGGCUCAACCAGUGCGACCAGUUCUUCCGCGGGCAGUGCACACUUGCUUCGGAGCGGACCUGGCUUGCCUCUUAUCACCUCCGCGGCGCAGCCCAGACCUGGUACUACGCCCUCGAGCAGGACGAGGGCAGCAUGCCCCCUUGGGAGCGCUUCCGCGAGCUCUGCCUCCUUCGCUUUGGGCCUUCGGUUCGCGGGAGCCGCCUGGCGGAGCUCGGCCGCCUUCCCUUCACCUCCACGGUGCAGGACUACGCCGACUGUUUUCAGGCCCUGGCAUGCCAUGCGUCGAGUGUGACGGCGCAGCAGCGGGCCGACCUCUUUGUCGGUGGACUUCCGGAUCACAUCCGCAUGGACGUGGAGCUUCGGAGACCCCAGGAUCUCCAGUCGGCCAUGUACUACGCCCGCACGUUCGAGCGUCGCGCGGUGGCCAUCCAGCAGGAAUCACCGUCCCGGACCGCUGGGUCGCUACCCGGGUCGGAUUCCGCGCCGGGUCGGCCUGCGCAGGCUUCUGCGGCACCCCUCGCCGCGACCGCGGCGCGCCCGUUCCGCCGGCUCACCUCAGCCGAGAUACUCGAGCGUCGCCGCCAAGGGUUGUGCUUCAACUGCGACGAGCCCUACACGCCCGGCCACGCCUGCCCGCGACUCUUCUACCUGGAGGUUGCAGACUACAUUCCGGAGGACGCCGUCGCCGCCGACCUGGCCACCCCAGCUGUCGAGAAGGUGUUUGACGCUGGUUGAUCGCCUCGAGGAGUUCCGCAAGCGCUUCCCCACCUUACAGCUCGAGGACGAGCUGUUUGUGCAGGCGGGAAGAAGUGUUAUGGCCGGUUUAGCUAGGCCCACAGGGCAGUAGUUAGGGGCUUAGCCCACAAGUUAUCUUAGGUUAAUUCUUAUGCAAGUUAUCUUAGGUUAAUUCUUAUGCAAGUUAUCUAGGUUAUAAAUAUAGGCUAUAAGACUCUUUUUGGAAUCAAGUAAUAAGAAGAAUAUUAUCUCUAUUGCCCGGCUCCUCUGGGAGCCGGAACCCUAGCCGCCUCUAACCCUAGCCGCCGCCGCCAUCCUCCUCCCACGCGACGGCGCCCAGCCACCGGCGCGCCGCUCAUCGCCUCACCCUACUCCCUCCUUCCCCUACAAUCUACGGAGCAGGUCCGCUAGGAUCCCUGGUUCUACCAGUAUGCAUCUAUCUUCAACGCUCUCAUGGUCUCAAACAAAGGAUCUCUCUGGUUCACAUGUACACAUGUGGUCCAUUGUAUUCCAGUGGGAAUCCCGUGACCAAGUUGACCUACAAAAACGAUGAACGGGGGACAAGUAGUACAGAUGACAGAUGGGUUUACUUUCAUUUCUAAAAGGGACUUGGAUCUGUUUACUUGGUCUUCCAUAUUAUAUGGCGUGCAAUUUGAUUGCAGCACGCUCAAUCAUCGGAGGAAAAAAAGAUCCAUUAAUGGGUCCAUCGGAAGUUGGGUUUUUAAAUGAAAACUACUGAUGCAUCGAGUGUGCAUAUGUACUAUGUAGGCUGUUGGGAGGCGAAUACAAUGCAUAUGAGAUGCACUAGCAGACUAGCUCCAGCUGAAACCCAUGAGGCGCCCAUGAGAGCGUUGAAGAUACGACCAUUUCUUUUUCUUUUUCUUUCUCUUUGAUUGUGUCCUCCCUCCUCCCUCGAGUAAUUUUUAGACAAGUUUCAACAAUUUCCAAGUAAUUUUUAGACAUAUAUUUGGUGUACUAUAGCGAGCUUCAUGCAUGAAUGCAGGCCUAUGACUGAGCUAGAUUCAACUGAUGAUAGCAAAGCUUAAGCUAUAUAUAACACAGAACCACAACAAAAAUUGAAAGGUCCAGGAGGGAGGGCUCAGGAGAAGUACAAGAAGAAUUGGAGGAUGGGGUGUAUGCAUAUCCAUAUAUAUCACUUAAAACAAACCAGCCAGUUCCGAUUCUUCUGUUCCAAGUAAUAAGUUGAGUGGCCUGCUCUUUAUUUUUAUUUUUUGUCAUUUACACAGUAACGUUUGAUUUUACAUGUAAAUUCUAGAGAGAUUCUUUCUCCAACAGGUGUGUACGGCAUCUUUUUUCCUCCAACGCUCUCAUGGGUUCCGAUCUGGUUGUUUUUACAUGUAACUCUAGAGAGAUUCUUUCUUUCUCCAGCAGGUGUGUACUGCAUCUUUUUUCCUCCACCGCUCUCAUGGGUUUCGAUCUGGUUGGCACAUGUGCAUGUGAUCCAUCGUAUUCCAGUCCAAAACCCGUUAACCAAGUUGGCAUACAAGUAGUAUAGGAAUUAUAAACGGGGGACAUGUACACAUGAUAGGUGACUUUACUUCAUUUCAAAUAGGGACCUCGAUCCUACGGAUUCCUUUACUUGGUCCUUCCAUAUUCUAUGUGUGCAAGUUGAUUGCAUCCAUCGGGAGUCGGGGUUUUUAAUGAGGCUUUAAGGUAAGACAUCGGAAGUUGGACAGCACCAAGUGUCCAUGUGUACUAUGUACUCCUAUUGUUUUCUAACGGCAACUUGAUUAUGGACUGUAAUAUGAUGGAUAUGACCGGCACUAGCUCCACCGGAAACCAGUUAGGGAAAAAAAGCUCUAUCUGAAACCUACGAGAGAGCGUUGAAGAUGAGACAUUAUUUGUGAUAGAUACUGACAUACCUUGAAUUAACUUCAAUGGAAGGGGCCAUCUGAAUGUUAAGCUGCAGAUUUUGGAGCUCCACUGGGAAUGUGCUCACGAACGAGAAUUUAGGACCGAUAGUACGCCGCUUGGUUGUGUAAUUAAGUUUGCUCCUACCUAUUCAAUACAACAAGGUACAAAGCUUUUGUGUUUCCGAGAGAGAGAAAAAGUACGCCGCGCAACCGUACUGAGGAUUGUUUUCGGCAAAGGGUUAAGUUUGUUUUCGCACCUGCGUGCGGAGCAGCCAGCAGCAGUUGAUAUUGUUUGUUGUGCAUCUUGGCUGGUUUACCUGAAUUCACAUGUGAGACACGAAACAUUAGACUUUGUUUUAUAUAUAUCACACUGCUGAUACAUCAAAAUCUUACCUCCACUGGAAUCUUACAACAGAUGUUUGCAAUCGUUUGAACAAUGGCAAGUUAUAGUGGCUACUAUUAAACACAUCCUACUGGAUCAUGCAUGCACACUGUCAGAAUGCCUUCUUUUCUUGUUUUGCUACUGUGGCAUUGCUUCUUUGACUGCUCCAUCGAUGGCCCGGUUCAGUGCGAGAAAAGGCACAACCAAAGCGCCUACCAAGAAACGGGACUGAGACAUGAAUAUUUAGGAGACGGGAAAAGCAAAGUUCAAAGACCGAACAGUCAAAGAGAACCAUACCUCUGAAGGAUCUUCAUUAGGUUUGUCAUUUCAGAAUUCAGAUACAAAAAGAAAGACAACUUCACUCCCACUCAAUCCAAGCAAUGCAAGCAAAAAGAAAGUCCUUGGCUUUCCCCUGGUUCUAGUCAAUCACAACUUCAGAAGACGAGCUUCAAUAAUCUGCAUUCAAGAGGGCAACUAAAUUCAAAAUAUUUGAAGUAACAAACAUUCAGGCUGGUGACACUGUUAUAAACGUGUUGUCUAAAAUUUACUGGUACUGAAGGAGCAGUAUUUUUUUCAUUGUUUUAUUUUUAAGACAGAAAAGUAGAAAUUGUUGUUGCCGAAUCGAUCGAGAGGAGGAAACGAGCGAGAGAGAGAUGAACCAACGAGAGGAAGAAGACACUGGUAUGUUUUGUGCCGUCGAACUCGACAGCGUUUUUCUGUUAUUCCUCUCUCUGAAAGUAUGGCUAUUACAGAGGCUAACAACUGGGCUAACUAACUCCCGAUCAUCUUCCCACGAUCCACUUGUGCCGCGCCAUCCCACGGCUGCGUUUCGUGCGCCUAACUGAUCGGGAGAAAAGAUCAAAGCAAAACAAAAACGGUGAGUCUGUGCAUGCAGCACAACUCUGAACCUGACUACGUGCAACACCUGACAGACCAGGCAUGCAUCUGUUAUUCUAACAGCAAGCAAACUAACUGACGGUGAGCUUAGCUAGAGCCUACAGAAAUACCUCUGCUACACCCCUCAAGUAAUAGAAGGGAUCAUUGCCCUUGCCUACACAUGGGC